AGUGAACGCUGGCGGCGUGCCUAAUACAUGCAAGUCGAACGGAAUUUAAAAGAGCUUGCUCUUUUAAAUUUAGUGGCGCACGGGUGAGUAAUAUAUAGCUAAUCUGCCCCUUGCUGGAGGACAACAGUUAGAAAUGACUGCUAAUACUCCAUACUCCUUUUUACCAUAAGAUAAAUCGGGAAAGAAUUUCGGCAAGGGAUGAGACUAUAUCGUAUCAGCUAGUCGGUGGGGUAACGGCCUACCGAGGCUAUGACGCGUAACUGGUCUGAGAGGAUGAUCAGUCACAUUGGAACUGAGACACGGUCCAAACUCCUACGGGAGGCAGCAGUAGGGAAUAUUGCGCAAUGGGGGAAACCCUGACGCAGCAACGCCGCGUGGAGGAUGACACUUUUCGGAGCGUAAACUCCUUUUGUUAGGGAAGAAUAAU
rnacentral:rRNA from 1 species